UACAGAGGGGGCAAGCGUUAUUCGGAAUUAUUGGGCGUAAAGGGCGCGUAGGCGGCUUUUCAAGUGACGGGUGAAAUCCCUCGGCUUAACCGAGGAACUGCCUGUCAGACUGGAAGGCUUGAGACCGGGGAGAGGUGAGUGGAAUUCCCAGUGUAGCGGUGAAAUGCGUAGAUAUUGGGAGGAACACCAGUGGCGAAGGCGGCUCACUGGACCGGAACUGACGCUGAGGCGCGAAAGCGUGGGGGAGCAAACAGG
rnacentral:rRNA from 1 species